rnacentral:rRNA from 1 species
UAGUAUCAGCGUGUCAGCCGCCGCGGUAAUACGGAACUGUGCGAACGUUAUUCGGAAUCACUGGGCUUACAGGGUGCGUAGGCGGCUUUUCAGGUCAGGUGUGAAAGCCCCCGGCUCAACCGGGGAACUGCGCUUGAAACCGAAAAGCUCGAGUCAGCUAGAGGUACACGGAACUUCCAGUGGAGCGGUGAAAUGUGUUGAUAUUGGAAGGAACACCGGAGGCGAAAGCGGUGUACUGGGGCUGGUCUGACGCUGAGGCACGAAAGCCAGGGGAGCGAACGGGAUUAGAUACCCCGGUAGUCCUGGCCGUAAAACGAUGAGUGCUGGACGGGAGGGGGUUCGCCCUCUCCGGUCGGAGCGAAAGCGGGAAGCACUCCGCCUGGGGAGUAUGGUCGCAAGGCU